rnacentral:rRNA from 1 species
AGUAAAAAAUGAAGUUCAGACGCGCACGAAUGGCGUAACGACUGGGGAACUGUCUCGAGGAGUAGCUCGGUGAAAAUACAGUGGGGGUGAAGAUGCCCUCUACCUGCAGCUAGACGAAAAGACCCCAGGAGCUUUACUGCAACUUGGUAUUGAGCGUACGGUCUUACUGCGUAGCAUAGGUGGGAGACUUUGAAGUGCCGUUCUCGGAUGGCAUGGAGUCGUCAGUGAAAUACCACUCUGCACGAUUGUACGAUCUAACCUGACCGGCAAAAACGGUCGGAAACAGUAUCUGGUGGGCAGUUUGUUUGGGGCGAAUUCCUCCUAAAGAGUAACGGAGGAGUCUAUUAAGGUCAGCUAGGCGCGAAUGGAAACCGU